rnacentral:rRNA from 1 species
GUGUCAGCAGCCGCGGUAAUACGGAGGAUGCGAGCGUUAUCCGGAUUCAUUGGGUUUAAAGGGUGCGUAGGCGGACCGAUAAGUCAGUGGUGAAAACCUGCAGCUUAACUGUAGAACUGCCAUUGAUACUGUCGGACUUGAGUAUGGUCAAGGUAGGCGGAAUGUGUAAUGUAGCGGUGAAAUGCUUAGAUAUUACACAGAACACCGAUUGCGAAGGCAGCUUGCUGGGCCAUUACUGACGCUGAUGCACGAAAGCGUGGGGAGCAAACAGGAUUAGAAACCCGCGUAGUCC